UAGAAGUUGACGGGGCCGCACAGCGGUGGAGCAUGUGGUUUAAUUCGAAGCAACGCGAAGAACCUUACCAGGUCUUGACAUCCCGAUGCUAUUUCUAGAGAUAGAAAGUUACUUCGGUACAUCGGUGACAGGUGGUGCAUGGUUGUCGUCAGCUCGUGUCGUGAGAUGUUGGGUUAAGUCCCGCAACGAGCGCAACCCUUGCCUUUAGUUGCCAGCAGUUCGGCUGGGCACUCUAAAGGGACUGCCGGUGUCAAACCGGAGGAAGGUGGGGAUGACGUCAAGUCCUCAUGGCCUUUAUGGCCAGGGCUACACACGUACUACAAUGGCCGGUACAAAGGGCAGCGACAUUGCGAGAUGGAGCGAAUCCCGAAAAGCCGGUCUCAGUCCGGAUUGGAGUCUGCAACUCGACUCCAUGAAGUUGGAAUCGCUAGUAAUCGUGGAUCAGCAUGCCACGGUGAAUACGUUCCCGGGCCUU
rnacentral:rRNA from 1 species